rnacentral:rRNA from 1 species
AGCAGCCGCGGUAAUUCCAGCUCCAAUAGCGUAUAUUAAAGUUGUUGUGGUUAAAAAGCUCGUAGUUGAACCUCGGGCCUGGCUGGCCGGUCCGCCUCACCGCGUGUACUGGUCCGGCCGGGCCUUUCCCUCUGUGGAACCCCAUGCCCUUCACUGGGUGUGGUGGGGAAACAGGACUUUUACUGUGAAAAAAUUAGAGUGCUCCAGGCAGGCCUAUGCUCGAAUACAUUAGCAUGGAAUAAUAGGAUAGGACGUGUGGUUCUAUUUUGUUGGUUUCUAGGACCGCCGUAAUGAUUAAUAGGGACAGUCGGGGGCAUCAGUAUUCAAUUGUCAGAGGUGAAAUUCUUGGAUUUAUUGAAGACUAACUACUGCGAAAGCAUUUGCCAAGGAUGUACUCAUUAAUCAGGAACGAAAGUUAGGGGAUCGAAGACGAUCAGAUACCGUCGUAGUCUUAACCAUAAACUAUGCCGACUAGGGAUCGGACGGUGUUAUUUUUGACCCGUUCGGCACCUUACGGGAA